CUCAGAAAAAGGCAAACCUAUUGAAAGAUGGGGACGCAAAGUCACAGAUCUAAGGUAUUUUUACUAAGAUGGCUGGACUAUCUGG
rfam:Oceanobacillus iheyensis HTE831 DNA, complete genome.